rnacentral:rRNA from 1 species
AUUGAACGCUGGCGGCAGGCCUAACACAUGCAAGUCGAGCGGUAGAGAGAAGCUUGCUUCUCUUGAGAGCGGCGGACGGGUGAGUAAUGCCUAGGAAUCUGCCUGGUAGUGGGGGAUAACGUUCGGAAACGGACGCUAAUACCGCAUACGUCCUACGGGAGAAAGCAGGGGACCUUCGGGCCUUGCGCUAUCAGAUGAGCCUAGGUCGGAUUAGCUGGUUGGUGGGGUAAUGGCUCACCAAGGCGACGAUCCGUAACUGGUCUGAGAGGAUGAUCAGUCACACUGGAACUGAGACACGGUCCAGACUCCUACGGGAGGCAGCAGUGGGGAAUAUUGGACAAUGGGCGAAAGCCUGAUCCAGCCAUGCCGCGUGUGUGAAGAAGGUCUUCGGAUUGUAAAGCACUUUAAGUUGGGAGGAAGGGCAGUAAAUUAAUACUUUGCUGUUUUGACGUUACCGACAGAAUAAGCACCGGCUAACUCUGUGCCAGCAGCCGCGGUUAUACAGAGGGUGCAAGCGUUAAUCGGAAUUACUGGGCGUAAAGCGCGCGUAGGUGGUUAGUUAAGUUGGAUGUGAAAUCCCCGGGCUCAACCUGGGAACUGCAUUCAAAACUGACUGACUAGAGUAUGGUAGAGGGUGGUGGAAUUUCCUGUGUAGCGGUGAAAUGCGUAGAUAUAGGAAGGAACACCAGUGGCGAAGGCGACCACCUGGACUGAUACUGACACUGAGGUGCGAAAGCGUGGGGAGCAAACA